UGCGAAGGCAGCUUUCUGGAUCAUUACUGACACUGAGGAACGAAAGCAUGGGUAGCGAAGAGGAUUAGAUACCCUCGUAGUCCAUGCCGUAAACGAUGUGUGUUAGACGUUGGAAAUUUAUUUUCAGUGUCGCAGCGAAAGCAAUAAACACACCGCCUGGGGAGUACGACCGCAAGGUUAAAACUCAAAUGAAUUGACGGGGACCCGCACAAGUAGUGGAGCAUGUGGUUUAAUUCGAAGAUACGCGCAGAACCUUACCAACACUUGACAUGUUCGUCGCGACUCUAAGAGAUUAGAGUUUUCGGUUCGGCCGGACGAAACACAGGUGCUGCAUGGCUGUCGUCAGCUCGUGUCGUGAGAUGUUGGGUUAAGUCCCGCAACGAGCGCAACCCUCACUUUUAGUUGCCAUCAUUAAGUUGGGCACUCUGAAAGAACUGCCAGUGAUAAGCUGGAGGAAGGUGGGGAUGACGUCAAGUCCUCAUGGCCCUUACGUGUUGGGCUACACACGUGCUACAAUGGCAUCUACAACAGGAAGCAAAACGGCAACGUUAAGCAAAUCCCGAAAAGAUGCCUCAGUUCGGAUUGCACUCUGCAACUCGAGUGCAUGAAGCUGGAAUUACUAGUAAUCGUGGAUCAGCGUGCCACGGUGAAUGCGUUCCCGGGUCUUGUACACACCGCCCGUCACACCAUGGGAGUUGGUUCUACCUUAAGGCAAGGCUUUAAACCCUUGACCACGGUAUAGUCAGCGACUGGGGUGAAGUCGUAACAAGGUAACCGUA
rnacentral:rRNA from 1 species